AUUUUUUUGGGUAAGAAAAUCUUCUUUUGUUUUUUUCCCUACGAGUUCCAAAAGCCAUUACGGCAUUUCCAGUCACUGAAAACGAGCCAAUUUGCAGUCCCAAUCGAAGUUCGCUGAAACAAUGGCGAGCAGCGUGGAGCAGCAAAAGAAGCUGAAGCUAUAUUCUUACUUCCGGAGUUCUUGCUCUCACCGAGUUCGGAUUGCUCUCAAAUUGAAAGGCCUGGAGUAUGAAUACAAAGCAGUUAAUUUGCUGAAAGGGGAGCACUUCAGUCCUGAGUUUACAAAGCUCAAUCCAAUUGGUUAUGUGCCGGUGUUGGUGGAUGAGGACCUUGUAGUUUCUGACUCUUUUGCAAUCAUGUUGUAUCUGGAAGAGAAAUAUCCUCAACAUCCGCUGUUGCCUCGUGAUCUGCAGAGAAGAGCAAUCAACUACCAGGCUGCAAAUAUUGUUUCUUCAAGUAUACAACCUCUUCAGAACCUAUCUGUGCUGAAGUAUAUUGCGGAGAAAGUUAAUCCAGAUGAGCAGUAUGUUUGGGCUAGGAAUCAUAUUGGGAAAGGUUUAGAAGCACUUGAGAAGUUGUUGCAUGACUAUGCUGGGAAGUAUGCCACUGGAGAUGAAGUCUAUCUGGCAGAUUGCUUUAUAGCACCUCAGCUUUAUGGAGCAAUCAAAAGGUUCAGUCUUGAUAUGACUCCGUACCCUCUUCUGUCUAGGUUGAAUGAGGCAUACAAUCAACUACCUGCCUUUGUAGAUUCUGCGCCAGAAAACCAGCCGGAUACACCAGUUUAGGCGUUGAGUUGAGGUAACUGAGGAAUAUGAAAGUACUUGUCAUUGUAUGCUUGACCACAUAGCCUGUGGUGAAGCCCGUGAAGCAAGAUUUCGGGCAGAGCUGUUAAGAUGCCAGCAUACUUUCUUCCACGAGGCUUUGUCUAUUUGAGAAUUAUGACAGAAUAAACUAAAGUUGUGUUUAUUGUAUUAGAACAUCUUUAUAUUGUUCCCUGAAGUUCAGUUUGCUUGUUGUACCGUGAAAUAAAGAGGUUUUAGUAUUCUGGUUCGAAGUUAAGAUGUUUAAAUAUUUAUGUGCUGCUAUAUUCAAUUCUUGCCCUUCUGUA